rnacentral:lncRNA from 1 species
GAAGAGGUUACACAAUCUCAUAUUUUUCAUUGAUAUUUGAGGUGAUAAUUAAUAAACAUAUUAGAUUAGAACUGAAAGGCGUAGAUAAAAAAUAAAAAUAAAAAUAGAAAGAAAAAAAAGAGAAAAAAUAGAAGAUGGAUAAAAUUUAAGUAGAACAAGAAAAUGACCUAAUUUGACCCAGCUGAGGAGGCCACCAAAAGCUUACACAAUCUCACAUUUCUCAUUGAUACUAAGAGUGAGAAUUGAAGAGUCGUGAAUGAAUGAAUGAUUUAUUGUUGUGUAAGCCACACGCUACAAGAAAAACUAUUGUUACCUACGACAUCUUUAUCCACGAUAAUUCCUUAGAUAACUUAGAAAGGAUACAUAGUUAUUCAUUUCAAUUCACCAUUAAUUUCAAUUCAUAGUCACUAAUUUAAAUUCAUAGUCAUUCAAUAAUUACCACUAAUUCGAGUAAAUCAAACCAUUAAUUCAAACAUCUAAUACACUUCAAUUCACCAAUAAUUUGUCAAAACUAUUCGGUUUGAUAUUGGAAAAAAGGGAUCAACGGUAAUUCAUUUCUUAUUUGUUUCAAUUACUCAAGAAGGAUUAAACUAUCAAAGUUAUGGAUUUUCAAGUUUGAAACAAUGAAUUUGAGAUGUUAGGGAUUUCAAUGUAUUGUGAAAAAAAUAAAACAAGAAAACGAAUUAGGAUUUGCAAAUCAAUUAAUAAACAAUUUCUUCAUUCAUUUACUCAACAAAUAAUUAUGAAAAUAAAACAAAUUAGAAAGAACAAACAAGAGAACAAAAGAGAAUAAAGAGCAAACGAGAAGGAAAGAAACGUUUGAGCUCAUGUAUUUUCAUAUAACAAUGAAUAAAAUUAUUUUUUCGAUCGUUCAAAAUUCGAUAUUUGGCUCGAGGAGUUAGUAUUUGGUGUACA